GAUGAACGCUGGCGGCGUGCCUAAUACAUGCAAGUCGAGCGAACAGACGAGGAGCUUGCUCCUCUGACGUUAGCGGCGGACGGGUGAGUAACACGUGGAUAACCUACCUAUAAGACUGGGAUAACUUCGGGAAACCGGAGCUAAUACCGGAUAAUAUAUUGAACCGCAUGGUUCAAUAGUGAAAGACGGUUUUGCUGUCACUUAUAGACGGAUCCGCGCCGCAUUAGCUAGUUGGUAAGGUAACGGCUUACCAAGGCGACGAUGCGUAGCCGACCUGAGAGGGUGAUCGGCCACACUGGAACUGAGACACGGUCCAGACUCCGACGGGUGGCAGAAGUAGGGAAGCGUCCGCAAGGGGCGAAAGCCGGACGGAGCAACGCCGCGUGAGUGAUGAAGGUCUUCGGAUCGUAAAACUCUGUUAUUAGGGAAGAACAAAUGUGUAAGUAACUAUGCGCGUCGUGACGGUACCGAAUCAGAAAGCCACGGCUAACUACGUG
rnacentral:rRNA from 1 species